UAGUAAAAUGGCUGAUAAGAGUGAUAAAUUGUAAAUUUAUAAAUAAAUUGAAAAAUUUUUUUACU
rnacentral:tRNA from 1 species